GACGAACGCUGGCGGCGUGCUUAACACAUGCAAGUCGAACGGAAAGGCCCUGCUUUUGUGGGGUGCUCGAGUGGCGAACGGGUGAGUAACACGUGAGUAACCUGCCCUUGACUUUGGGAUAACUUCAGGAAACUGGGGCUAAUACAGGAUAGGAGCUCCUGCUGCAUGGUGGGGGUUGGAAAGUUUCGGCGGCUGGGGAUGGACUCGGGGCUAAUCAGCUUGUUGGUGGGGUAGUGGCUUACCAAGGCUUUGACGGGUAGCCGGCCUGAGCGGGUGACCGGCCGCACUGGGACGGAGCUACGGCCCAGACUCCUACGGGAGGCAGCAGUGGGGAAUAUUGCACAAUGGGCGGAAGCCUGAUGCAGCACGCCCGCGUGCGGGAGGACGGCCUUCGGGUGGUAAACCGCUUUCUCCUGUGACGAAGCGUGAGUGACGGUAAUGGGUAAAGAAGCACCGGCUAACUACGUG
rnacentral:rRNA from 1 species